UACGUAGGUGGCAAGCGUUGUCCGGAAUUAUUGGGCGUAAAGCGCGCGCAGGCGGCCUCUUAAGUCUGAUGUGAAAGCCCCCGGCUCAACCGGGGAGGGCCAUUGGAAACUGGGAGGCUUGAGUAUAGGAGAGAAGAGUGGAAUUCCACGUGUAGCGGUGAAAUUGCGUAGAGAUGUGGAGGAACACCAGUGGCGAAGGCGACUCUUUGGCCUAUAACUGACGCUGAGGCGCGAAAGCGUGGGGAGCAAACAGG
rnacentral:rRNA from 1 species